CACCCUUCAUGGCUUUAUUUUUUCCCGUCAUAGUGGGUACUUUCUACUACACAUAAUUCAUUUUAUUUUAAACAUCGUUUUACUUGUUUAUUUAGUUACGUUUUCAAAAUGUUUUGGCUUAUUUGUUUUGGUCUUCUUCUAUUUUCUCAGCACUGGGCACUACAGUGGGAGGUGGAGUCGUUGUGUGUUCAGUGCUAUAACCUCCGCACCUAAGGAUAGCUUGUAAUGACUGAUGAAUGAAUGAAACGGAGUGACUUUCUCAGUCCUCCAAUCUGUCUCCCACAGGUGCGGUGGCCUCAGUCCCCCUCGCCCGCCCCAGCCUCUGAGUCCCCCUCACUGAUAGUCCCCCAGGCAGGGACCAGGAGGCAACACAAGGUCACAGCCCAGGCCAAGGCCAUGGCCGGAUGGCACAGUCCAGCCAGCAAAGUUGACAGAAAUAGCUGCCCAGGGAUAUGGUGGCUCUCCUUCCCAAUUCUCUCCCUGCCACCGCUGGGCUGCAGGCCACAGACAGAUGCCAAAGGCAAGGAAGGAAACCAAUGACGAAGCUAAGGCCAGAUGGACCAGCGGCUGCUGCCCUCUCCCAG
rnacentral:lncRNA from 1 species